GUUUCUUGAUUCUUAAUCUGGAGAUGUUUAUUAUACUGUUACUGGUGACUUGGUACAUUUUGUGGAAGAAAGAUAGCCUAUCGGCUAUAAUAAACCCCAAAUUUCUGUGGAUUUAUAUCAUAGAAUUGUAUUUCUCCCCCAUGUCAUAAUCCAGUGUGAGGCAAUGGCCAGAGGCUCUUGUCUAUUCCAUCCUCUGUGGACCCAGGCACCUCCCAACUUGUCCUCUUGAUCCAGCUAGAAGACUGGGAAAGAGAGCUGAGGGUCACACUAGAUUUAUAGGAGGGGGGUGGCCAAGUGGAGGACCUGACUCCAUCCUGCUGUCCUCUGGCCAGAUUUUAGCCCCAUGACUGGAUCUCUGGAAAGAAAUGCAAUACAGCUGUGUGUACAGGAGGGAAAGGAACGUUGGUCAUGUGGAGAUGCCAGAUCCCCGUGCAGACCAGUCUGGACAUAGCUUGAAAACUGGAAAAGAAAAGAUACAGAAUAAAAAGGUCCGUUAAGUGGGAAGAAAAUAAACCUCCAAGAAGAAAAGGUGGGAGAGAAGAGGAAAGAAGCAGAUGCUGAAGACCUAGAUGUUCAAAACAUAACAAGGAGACGUGAGCCCCGUCUGGUAACCUGAAGAGCUGGAUCCAAGCUAAGGAUUUGGAUCACAAGGAUCCAGGAACAUGAGCCAAGAACACACACAUUGUGCUUGGUUCGAACCUGGACAGCGGACCAGAGAAGUAGAAUGUGAAGUAGAAAGAAUCAACAAUGGAAACUGGUAUUAUCAAAGAUCACGGUCUCCUUAUGCCUUUCCCUGUCACACUUAAAGCAGGUUCGUUGUUCAUUUAUUUAAAAAUAAAACAAAAAACUAAUGACUGCAUGCUUGCUACAUGUGUGAAAAAUACGCCAAAAUGAGACAAAAUAAAGUCCAUGUAGUACAAACCAA